rnacentral:rRNA from 1 species
GAUGAACGCUGGCGGCGUGCCUAAUACAUGCAAGUCGAGCGAACGGACGAGAAGCUUGCUUCUCUGAUGUUAGCGGCGGACGGGUGAGUAACACGUGGAUAACCUACCUAUAAGACUGGGAUAACUUCGGGAAACCGGAGCUAAUACCGGAUAAUAUUUUGAACCGCAUGGUUCAAAAGUGAAAGACGGUCUUGCUGUCACUUAUAGAUGGAUCCGCGCUGCAUUAGCUAGUUGGUAAGGUAACGGCUUACCAAGGCAACGAUGCAUAGCCGACCUGAGAGGGUGAUCGGCCACACUGGAACUGAGACACGGUCCAGACUCCUACGGGAGGCAGCAGUAGGGAAUCUUCCGCAAUGGGCGAAAGCCUGACGGAGCAACGCCGCGUGAGUGAUGAAGGUCUUCGGAUCGUAAAACUCUGUUAUUAGGGAAGAACAUAUGUGUAAGUAACUGUGCACAUCUUGACGGUACCUAAUCAGAAAGCCACGGCUAACUACGUGCCAGCAGCCGCGGUAAUACGUAGGUGGCAAGCGUUAUCCGGAAUUAUUGGGCGUAAAGCGCGCGUAGGCGGUUUUUUAAGUCUGAUGUGAAAGCCCACGGCUCAACCGUGGAGGGUCAUUGGAAACUGGAAAACUUGAGUGCAGAAGAGGAAAGUGGAAUUCCAUGUGUAGCGGUGAAAUGCGCAGAGAUAUGGAGGAACACCAGUGGCGAAGGCGACUUUCUGGUCUGUAACUGACGCUGAUGUGCGAAAGCGUGGGGAUCAAACAGGAUUAGAUACCCUGGUAGUCCACGCCGUAAACGAUGAGUGCUAAGUGUUAGGGGGUUUCCGCCCCUUAGUGCUGCAGCUAACGCAUUAAGCACUCCGCCUGGGGAGUACGACCGCAAGGUUGAAACUCAAAGGAAUUGACGGGGACCCGCACAAGCGGUGGAGCAUGUGGUUUAAUUCGAAGCAACGCGAAGAACCUUACCAAAUCUUGACAUCCUUUGACAACUCCAGAGAGCCUUCCCCUUCGGGGGACAAAGUGACAGGUGGUGCAUGGUUGUCGUCAGCUCGUGUCGUGAGAUGUUGGGUUAAGUCCCGCAACGAGCGCAACCCUUAAGCUUAGUUGCCAUCAUUAAGUUGGGCACUCUAAGUUGACUGCCGGUGACAAACCGGAGGAAGGUGGGGGUGACGUCAAAUCAUCAUGCCCCUUAUGAUUUGGGCUACACACGUGCUACAAUGAACAAUACAAAGGGCAGCGAAACCGCGAGGUCAAGCAAAUCCCAUAAAGUUGUUCUCAGUUCGGAUUGUAGUCUGCAACUCGACUACAUGAAGCUGGAAUCGCUAGUAAUCGUAGAUCAGCAUGCUACGGUGAAUACGUUCCCGGGUCU